rnacentral:sRNA from 1 species
UGACUGCAGUCACAGUUCCCAUUUUAUAAUCAAUUUAAAUGCAAUGCUGCACGAUUUCUUGCAGAAGGAAUAUCGAUGUGUGCUAUUUUACUGAAGAUCAUCACACUUCUAGCAGCUUUAUUUUUCGUCUGGAGGGAAUGCCAGACAUGGAUGAAUUUACCCUAUUGUGAGAUGGAUAUUUGUGAUGAGACAAGUUUAACGUUCACCAAUUCAACGAGCCUUUCAGCAUUUUGCCGAUCUGAUGAUGAAACACUAGCAGCAAGUCAUCUGGAAGUAAUAAAUGGCAAUGGAAGAUGUGAAAAUAAAGAUAACAUUGUCCUAUCUCAGGGAGUAUUUCUGAAUACGACUCUCAGAUUAUAUGAAGGGUCUCUCGUCGAGCGUGAUAUCAAAACACCCUUAAUACAAGAUAUUGAGAUUAAUAACUGCACCAGGUUGUGUGUCAUUCCGCUUAAAAUACUGUUUCCAAGCUUUGUGGCUGAUGUUAGUGAUUCAUUUGAGCUUCACCUUGCAAGUUCUGUUGAUACAGAUGAGUCGUUAUUGUUGUCAACUGCAAUAGGUCCUCUGGCAUUAUGAUCAAUACAGAAGGACAAUGAGAACUUGUUUUUAAAGAUCUUGUUAAAGAUCCUUAGCUCCC